rnacentral:rRNA from 1 species
AAUCAACGCUGGCGGCGUGCGUAACACAUGCAAGUCGAACGAGAAAGCGGGGGCGAACUCCGUUAGUAAAGUAGGCAGACGGGUGAGUAACACGUGAACAAUCUACCUUCGAGUGGGGAAGUAACCCCGCCGAAAGCGGGGCGUAAUACCUCAUGACAUCCUCGGGUCGGCAUGAUCUGGGGAGUCAAAGGCUUCGGUCGCUUGAAGAGGAGUUCGCGCCUGAUUAGCUAGUUGGUGAGGUAACGGCCCACCAAGGCAACGAUCAGUAGCCGGCCUGAGAGGGCGUACGGCCACACUGGAACUGAGACACGGUCCAGACUCCUACGGGUGGCAG